AUCUACAGCUGCUGGGACGAUUAGCUUCCCAGCCAGAGAAAUCUUAGGCCAUCAUGACGCCGGCAGAAACACACUGUCAAAGGCCACCGUCAGAUUGAGGCUUGGGUAAUUGUAUCUGCUGUGAAGUUAAUGACUUUUAAGAUGAGUGGGCCUGAUUCAACCUGGAACCCACACUGAACCAAUAUCCGAUAUGCUCCCUUCUCCCCCGUCACCACACUGACGACUCUGUGAGGCAAAUGUGCUUUCGCCCACCUGCGACGGGGAGACAAAGGUGCCUUUUGCCAAACUCCAAGAGGGCUGUCAUGUGCAUUUUACCGAGUUGUGGCUUCCGUCUGGACACUACCAUAAAAGCCUGAUUGGUGGAUUGCUGCAGAGAAGGUUGUCCUUCUGGAAGGUUCUAACAUCUCCACAGAAGAACUCUGGAGCUCUGUCAGAGUGACCAUCGGGUUCAUGGUCACCUCCCUUACCAAGGCCCGUCUCCCCCGAUUGCUCAGUUUGGCAAGGCGGCCAGCUCUCGGAAGAGUGUUGGUGGGUCCAAACUUCUUCUAUUCAGGAAUGAUGGAGGCCACUGUGUUCCUUCAAUGCUGCAGGACUCUUCCCCAGUACUCUGCCUCGACACUAAGAUGUCUCAGAGCUCUAAGGACAAUUCCUUCGACCUCAUUACUUGAAUUAUACUCUAACAUGCACUGUCAACUGUGGGACCUUAUAUAUCCUUAUAUAGGUGUGUGCCUUUCCAAGCCAUUUCUAAUCAAUUUAAUUUACCACAGAUGGACUCCAAUCAAGUUGUAGAAACAUCAAGGAUGGUCAAUGGAAACAGGAUGUACCUGAGCUUAAUUCUGAGUCUUAU